rnacentral:rRNA from 1 species
GAUGAACGCUAGCGGCAGGCCUAACACAUGCAAGUCGAGGGGCAGCACGUCUUCGGAUGGUGGCGACCGGCGCACGGGUGCGUAACGCGUAUGCAACCUACCUCUUACAGUGGGAUAGCCCAGAGAAAUUUGGAUUAAUACCGCAUAGUAUACAGAUUCAGCAUUGGGACUGUAUUAAACAUUUAUGGGUAAGAGAUGGACAUGCGUUCUAUUAGUUAGUUGGAGUGGUAACGGNACCCCAAGACAGCGAUAGAUAGGGGCCCUGAGAGGGGGAUCCCCCGANACUGGUACCUGAGACACGGACCAGGACUCCUACGGGAGCAGCAGUGAGG